AGUCAGAGGCGAUGAAGGACGUGCUAAUCUGCGAUAAGCGUCGGUAAGGUGAUAUGAACCGUUAUAACCGGCGAUUUCCGAAUGGGGAAACCCAGUGUGAUUCGUCACACUAUCAUUAACUGAAUCCAUAGGUUAAUGAGGCGAACCGGGGGAACUGAAACAUCUAAGUACCCCGAGGAAAAGAAAUCAACCGAGAUUCCCCCAGUAGCGGCGAGCGAACGGGGAGCAGCCCAGAGCCUGAAUCAGUGUGUGUGUUAGUGGAAGCGUCUGGAAAGGCGCGCGAUACAGGGUGACAGCCCCGUACACAAAAAUGCACAUGCUGUGAGCUCGAUGAGUAGGGCGGGACACGUGGUAUCCUGUCUGAAUAUGGGGGGACCAUCCUCCAAGGCUAAAUACUCCUGACUGACCGAUAGUGAACCAGUACCGUGAGGGAAAGGCGAAAAGAACCCCGGCGAGGGGAGUGAAAAAGAACCUGAAACCGUGUACGUACAAGCAGUGGGAGCCUCUUUUAUGGGGUGACUGCGUACCUUUUGUAUAAUGGGUCAGCGACUUAUAUUCUGUAGCAAGGUUAACCGAAUAGGGGAGCCGAAGGGAAACCGAGUCUUAACUGGGCGUUAAGUUGCAGGGUAUAGACCCGAAACCCGGUGAUCUAGCCAUGGGCAGGUUGAAGGUUGGGUAACACUAACUGGAGGACCGAACCGACUAAUGUUGAAAAAUUAGCGGAUGACUUGUGGCUGGGGGUGAAAGGCCAAUCAAACCGGGAGAUAGCUGGUUCUCCCCGAAAGCUAUUUAGGUAGCGCCUCGUGAAUUCAUCUCCGGGGGUAGAGCACUGUUUCGGCAAGGGGGUCAUCCCGACUUACCAACCCGAUGCAAACUGCGAAUACCGGAGAAUGUUAUCACGGGAGACACACGGCGGGUGCUAACGUCCGUCGUGAAGAGGGAAACAACCCAGACCGCCAGCUAAGGUCCCAAAGUCAUGGUUAAGUGGGAAACGAUGUGGGAAGGCCCAGACAGCCAGGAUGUUGGCUUAGAAGCAGCCAUCAUUUAAAGAAAGCGUAAUAGCUCACUGGUCGAGUCGGCCUGCGCGGAAGAUGUAACGGGGCUAAACCAUGCACCGAAGCUGCGGCAGCGACGCUUAUGCGUUGUUGGGUAGGGGAGCGUUCUGUAAGCCUGUGAAGGUGUGCUGUGAGGCAUGCUGGAGGUAUCAGAAGUGCGAAUGCUGACAUAAGUAACGAUAAAGCGGGUGAAAAGCCCGCUCGCCGGAAGACCAAGGGUUCCUGUCCAACGUUAAUCGGGGCAGGGUGAGUCGACCCCUAAGGCGAGGCCGAAAGGCGUAGUCGAUGGGAAACAGGUUAAUAUUCCUGUACUUGGUGUUACUGCGAAGGGGGGACGGAGAAGGCUAUGUUGGCCGGGCGACGGUUGUCCCGGUUUAAGCGUGUAGGCUGGUUUUCCAGGCAAAUCCGGAAAAUCAAGGCUGAGGCGUGAUGACGAGGCACUACGGUGCUGAAGCAACAAAUGCCCUGCUUCCAGGAAAAGCCUCUAAGCAUCAGGUAACAUCAAAUCGUACCCCAAACCGACACAGGUGGUCAGGUAGAGAAUACCAAGGCGCUUGAGAGAACUCGGGUGAAGGAACUAGGCAAAAUGGUGCCGUAACUUCGGGAGAAGGCACGCUGAUAUGUAGGUGAGGUCCCUCGCGGAUGGAGCUGAAAUCAGUCGAAGAUACCAGCUGGCUGCAACUGUUUAUUAAAAACACAGCACUGUGCAAACACGAAAGUGGACGUAUACGGUGUGACGCCUGCCCGGUGCCGGAAGGUUAAUUGAUGGGGUUAGCGGUAACGCGAAGCUCUUGAUCGAAGCCCCGGUAAACGGCGGCCGUAACUAUAACGGUCCUAAGGUAGCGAAAUUCCUUGUCGGGUAAGUUCCGACCUGCACGAAUGGCGUAAUGAUGGCCAGGCUGUCUCCACCCGAGACUCAGUGAAAUUGAACUCGCUGUGAAGAUGCAGUGUACCCGCGGCAAGACGGAAAGACCCCGUGAACCUUUACUAUAGCUUGACACUGAACAUUGAGCCUUGAUGUGUAGGAUAGGUGGGAGGCUUUGAAGUGUGGACGCCAGUCUGCAUGGAGCCGACCUUGAAAUACCACCCUUUAAUGUUUGAUGUUCUAACGUUGACCCGUAAUCCGGGUUGCGGACAGUGUCUGGUGGGUAGUUUGACUGGGGCGGUCUCCUCCUAAAGAGUAACGGAGGAGCACGAAGGUUGGCUAAUCCUGGUCGGACAUCAGGAGGUUAGUGCAAUGGCAUAAGCCAGCUUGACUGCGAGCGUGACGGCGCGAGCAGGUGCGAAAGCAGGUCAUAGUGAUCCGGUGGUUCUGAAUGGAAGGGCCAUCGCUCAACGGAUAAAAGGUACUCCGGGGAUAACAGGCUGAUACCGCCCAAGAGUUCAUAUCGACGGCGGUGUUUGGCACCUCGAUGUCGGCUCAUCACAUCCUGGGGCUGAAGUAGGUCCCAAGGGUAUGGCUGUUCGCCAUUUAAAGUGGUACGCGAGCUGGGUUUAGAACGUCGUGAGACAGUUCGGUCCCUAUCUGCCGUGGGCGCUGGAGAACUGAGGGGGGCUGCUCCUAGUACGAGAGGACCGGAGUGGACGCAUCACUGGUGUUCGGGUUGUCAUGCCAAUGGCACUGCCCGGUAGCUAAAUGCGGAAGAGAUAAGUGCUGAAAGCAUCUAAGCACGAAACUUGCCCCGAGAUGAGUUCUCCCUGACUCCUUGAGAGUCCUGAAGGAACGUUGAAGACGACGACGUUGAUAGGCCGGGUGUGUAAGCGCAGCGAUGCGUUGAGCUAACCGGUACUAAUGAACCGUGAGGCUUAACCUU
rnacentral:rRNA from 1 species